CGCUCUGAUGGCCUAGUGGUUUGAUUUGAGCGUCCGCCUUGGAUGCGGGAUGUUGUAGGUUCGAUCCCCAAUUGAGUCA